UACUCAUACCACUCAUUAAGAAGGAGAGAGAGAGGGUAUAUGGCAGACAUACUCAUACCACUCAUUAAGAAGGUGAGAGAGAGGGUAUAUGGCAGACAUACUCAUACCACUCAUUAAGAAGGUGAGAGAGAGAGUAUAUGGCAGACAUACUCAUACCACUCAUUAAGAAGGAGAGAGAGAGAGGGUAUAUGGCAGACAUACUCAUACCACUCAUUAAGAAGGUGAGAGAGAGAGAGAGUAUAUGGCAGACAUACUCAUACCACUCAUUAAGAAGGAGAGAGAGAGUAUAUGGCAGACAUACUCAUACCACUCAUUA